rnacentral:rRNA from 1 species
UACGGAGGGUGCAAGCGUUAUCCGGAUUCACUGGGUUUAAAGGGUGCGUAGGUGGGCUUGUAAGUCAGCGGUGAAAUCUCCGGGCUUAACCCGGAAACUGCCAUUGAUACUAUAAGUCUUGAAUUAUCUGGAGGUAAGCGGAAUAUGUCAUGUAGCGGUGAAAUGCUUAGAUAUGACAUAGAACACCAAUUGCGAAGGCAGCUUACUACGGAUCGAUUGACACUGAGGCACGAAAGCGUGGGGGAUCAAACAGG